rnacentral:rRNA from 1 species
CCUACGGGAGGCAGCAGUGAGGAAUAUUGGUCAAUGGGCGAGAGCCUGAACCAGCCAAGUAGCGUGAAGGAUGACUGCCCUACGGGUUGUAAACUUCUUUUAUAAAGGAAUAAAGUGAGGAACGUGUUCCUUUUUGUAUGUACUAUAUGAAUAAGGAUCGGCUAACUCCGUGCCAGCAGCCGCGGUAAUACGGAGGAUCCGAGCGUUAUCCGGAUUUAUUGGGUUUAAAGGGUGCGUAGAUGGGUUGUUAAGUCAGUUGUGAAAGUUUGCGGCUCAACCAUAAAAUUGCAGUUGAAACUGGCAGUCUUGAGUACAUUUGAGGUAGGCGGAAUUCGUGGUGUAGCGGUGAAAUGCUUAGAUAUCACGAAGAACUCCGAUUGCGAAGGCAGCUUACUAAACUGCCACUGACAUUGAUGCACGAAAGUGUGGGGAUCAAACAGGAUUAGAUACCCUAGUAGUC